AUGACGAGCUACUUCAGAGGGCAGCGGCAGGAGCCUUCUUCUGAUGAUCCCCGGCCCGGUUACCGGAGGGACAGGGGCGGCCGCAAGCGCCUGACGGCGCAGAAGAGGAAGGAGAUCAAGGAGGCCUUCGAUCUCUUCGACACCGACGGCUCCGGCACCAUCGAUGCAAGGGAGCUCAACGUCGCAAUGAGAGCGCUGGGGUUUGAGAUGACGCCGGAGCAGAUCCAGCAGAUGAUCGCGGAGGUGGACAAGGACGGCAGCGGGACCAUCGACCUGGACGAGUUCAUACACAUGAUGACGGACAAGAUGGGCGAGAGGGACGCCAGGGACGAGCUCCACAAGGCCUUCCGGAUCAUCGACCAGGACGCCAACGGGAAGAUAUCGGAUAUGGACAUCCAGCGGCUGGCCAUCGAGGCCGGCGAGCACUUCACGCUCGACGAGGUCAGAGAGAUGAUCCAGGCCGCCGACGAAAACGGUGACGGCGAGGUCGACAUGGAGGAGUUCAUGAAGAUGAUGAAGCGGACGGGCUUCGGCGCCGGAUUCUAG
rnacentral:rRNA from 1 species